GUGCUAUUCUAAUUUUGCCUUGUGCUUAUAUAAGGAGUGGUUUUUGUAAAAGGUUCUCAUAUUGAAAAUACAUAAGAUAUGAGAAAGCUUGUAUAGCAUUAGAAUGUAAGGGAUUAGUACUCAGCAUGUAGAAUGGGUGGCUGUCACAUGGCUAUUGAUGUUAAGAAGAACCUAGUUUAAUUUCACUUAUAGUCCCUUAACUUAGUUGAUUGUAUCAGUAAUGUCCCUCAACUUUAAUUUGUAUCAUAAAAUUCCUUGAACUUUAAUUUGAGUAUCAUUAAACUCUUUGUUACCUGCUAUUAUAGGUUUCCAUAUUAACUUAUGGUUAAAUUUCACUUAUGGUUAAAUUUCACUUAUUGUUCCUCAACUGUGAUAAAUAUACCACACACAUCUCUUAACUUUAAU
rnacentral:misc_RNA from 1 species